GGUAUGGUAGCACAGUGGGCAGCACUGCUGCCUCGCAAGCAAGAAGAUUGUUGGUUUAAUUCUGACCUGUGACC